rnacentral:pre_miRNA from 1 species
UUUGAGGGGAAUGUUGUCUGGCUCGAGGACUCUGGCUCGCUCUUUUCAUGUUUUGGAUCUUCUUCGAUCUAAUCUUUGAACUGAACCUCCAGAUUUCAGAUCUGAUCUGAUUAGGGUUUUAGUGUCGUCGGACCAGGCUUCAUUCCCCCCAAU